AGCAGCCGCGGUAAUUCCAGCUCCAAUAGCGUAUAUUAAAGUUGUUGCAGUUAAAAAGCUCGUAGUUGAAUUUCGGGAUUGGCGCAUCGGUCGUGCCUCACGGGGUAUGAACUGGUGCAGUCAAUUUCUCACCUUCUGGAGAACCGCGAUGUCCUUAAUUGGAUGCCGCGGGGAACCAGGACCUUUACUUUGAAAAAUUAGAGUGUUUAAAGCAGGCAUUUUUGCUUGAAUACAUUAGCAUGGAAUAAUAAAUAGGACGGCAUGGUUCUAUUUUGUUGGUUUCUAGGACCCACCGUAAUGAUUAAUAGGGAUAGUUGGGGGCAUUAGGUAUUCAAUUGUCAGAGGUGAAAUUCUUGGGUAUUUAUUGAAGACUAACUACUGCGAAAGACA
rnacentral:rRNA from 1 species